GACGAACGCUGGCGGCGUGCCUAAUACAUGCAAGUAGAACGCUUAAGGAGGAGCUUGCUUCUCUGGAUGAGUUGCGAACGUGUGAGUAACGCGUAGGUAACCUGCCUGGUAGCGGGGGAUAACUAUUGGAAGCGAUAGCUAAUACCGCAUAAGAGUAGAUGUUGCAUGACAUUUGCUUAAAAGGUGCAUUUGCAUCACUACCAGAUGGACCUGCGUUGUAUUAGCUAGUUGGUGGGGUAACGGCUCACCAAGGCGACGAUACAUAGCCGACCUGAGAAGGGGAUCGGCCACACUGGGACUGGGAAACGGCCCAGACUUCUAAGGGAGGCAGCAGUAGGGAAUCUUCGGAAAUGGACGGAAGUCUGACCGAGGAACGCCGCGUGAGUGAAGAAGGUUUUCGGAUCGGAAAGCUCGGUUGUAAGAGAAGAACGAGUGUGAGAGUGGAAAGUUCACACUGUGACGGUAUCUUACCAGAAAGGGACGGCUAACUACGUG
rnacentral:rRNA from 1 species